CAGUUAGAUUUUGGUUAUGCCUA
rnacentral:siRNA from 1 species